CCUGCAGCAUAGGAGGGAGGGAGGCAAAGUGGGAUGGGUACAGCCCAGCAGGAGCUCCUGGAGAUCCCAGGCCCGUCCUUCCCCGCCAGGUUUCUGCCCCAGCCUCCUCUCUGGACUCCUACCCCCACAGAGCAGCCAAAGGGAUCCUUCUGAAUCCGUAUUCCUCCCCUGCUCAAAACCCUUCUAUGAUUCCCCAGUGCACUCAGUAUAAAGUCCGACCUGAACAUUCAAGGCCCUUUAGGUCUGGCAUCUGUUGACUUCCCUCUCCGUGGCCUCUUCCUCUGUGUCCCCGUCUCAGGGGAGCCCAGUCCCCAGGUGAGUAUGUUGGGCCUUGUCCUCAAUGCCUCCCUCCUUCCUUCCCUCCCCGUGGCCACACCCUGUCCUCUUUUCUGGCCUCAGGGCCUUCUUUCCUGCUCCCUCCAAUCCAACUUUCACCUGGCAGCUGGAAGCAUCUUUCUCUCCCUUCCAUAGGUUUCCCAGUGUCCUCACUCAGAAUAUAAUUCAGCUCCUCAGCCUGUAGGCAAAGCCCUUGGAGACCCAGCUCCAUUUCACCCUCCUUUCUGAGUCCCUCCGUGCUAGGCCCUGUUCUAGAAGCUGGAGACACAGCAGUGAACAGAGCAGACAAAAAUUCCUGCCCUUGUGCAGCUGACGUCUUGAACAACGAACACAGUAAAUACACAAAUUAUAGGGCCAGGUGAGGAGAGCACCAAGCCUUGAGUCAGAAUCCUCACAUACAAGACUUCCUAACACCCCUAUGAAGGACAAAGAGUCACACUUUACAGAUAAGAAAACUGAGGCUGCGAGAGGGACUAGCACUUGCCAGGUCACAGAGCAAGCGCUGACUUCCCAGGCCUAGCUCGCGCCUCUCGUUGGACCUUCCCGGCAGCAAGAUUGCUGAGACGCCGAUCCCUCCGAAGCCGCGCCCGCCUCCCGACUCCCUAGUUGUUGCUGGGGCAACGGCAGCCUCCUCCCCUGGCCUUGUCCCCGCCCUGCGGGUCGCUAAUUGGCCCUAGCAAUCUGUGGGGGCGGGGCUAACCUGUGAUGGACACUUUCUCUCCCACCUCUCCAUUUUGGGAAAGGCGUCUCUCCAACCGCGAACCACGGUUCAGCCAUUUGCGGCGUGGCCUUAUGUGGCCAUCUUGAGCGUGGCUGAGGAAGUUUGUGCACCAACUGUUUGUCCCAGAUACUCUCAUAACAGAAUAAGAAAAUCCAUCGAUGUCCCGUGCCCCCUAAAACUCUCUCUCAAUCGGGGCCACAAGUCAGAGACUUGAGCCAGAGCCAGGGGGGAAA